rnacentral:rRNA from 1 species
GAGAGUUGAUCAUGGCUCAGGAUGAACGCUAGCUACAGGCUUAACACAUGCAAGUCGAGGGGCAGCAUGAUCGAAGCUUGCUUGAUUGAUGGCGACCGGCGCACGGUGAGUAACGCGUAUCCAACCUUCCCUGUACUAGAGGAUAGCCCGGCGAAAGUCGGAUUAAUACUCUAUGUUAUUCGAUGCGGACAUCUAAUUUGAAUCAAAGGUUUACCGGUAUAGGAUGGGGGAUGCGUCUGAUUAGGUUGUUGGCGGGGUAACGGCCCACCAAGCCUACGAUCAGUAGGGGUUCUGAGAGGAAGGUCCCCCACAUUGGAACUGAGACACGGUCCAAACUCCUACGGGAGGCAGCAGUGAGGAAUAUUGGUCAAUGGACGAAAGUCUGAACCAGCCAAGUAGCGUGCCAGGAUGACGGCCCUAUGGGUUGUAAACUGCUUUUAUACAGGGAUAAAGUCAGUUACGUGUAACUGUUUGUAGGUACUGUAUGAAUAAGGACCGGCUAAUUCCGUGCCAGCAGCGGC